UGGGGAAUAUUGCACAAUGGGCGCAAGCCUGAUGCAGCCAUGCCGCGUGUAUGAAGAAGGCCUUCGGGUUGUAAAGUACUUUCAGCGGGGAGGAAGGGAGUAAAGUUAAUACCUUUACUCAUUGACGUUACCCGCAGAAGAAGCACCGGCUAACUCCGUGCCAGCAGCCGCGGUAAUACGGAGGGUGCAAGCGUUAAUCGGAAUUACUGGGCGUAAAGCGCACGCAGGCGGUCUGUCAAGUCGGAUGUGAAAUCCCCGGGCUUAACCUGGGAACUGCAUUGGAAACUGGCAGGCUAGAGUCUUGUAGAGGGAGGUGGAAUUCCAGGUGUAGCGGUGAAAUGCGUAGAGAUCUGGAGGAAUACCGGUGGCGAAGGCGGCCCCCUGGACAAAGACUGACGCUCAGGUGCGAAAGCGUGGGGAGCAAACGGG
rnacentral:rRNA from 1 species